AACGUUAUAGAUCAGAGAUUUUCGUUUCUGAUACGUUAUCGAUUUCCGGAAUCCUUUCUAAUGAAUUGAUUUCAAAUUUGUAUUUUUGGUAGAAAUUUCGUUGUUAAGGAUCUCUCUUUCUUGUUACUUGAGAUGUUCUUCGAUGGCUUAGUUCUUGGUUUGAAACUCAUUAGUUCUUGGCUGAGCAAUUGUUUUAUGGCUUGCAACUUAAGGAACAGAGACCAAUGAAGUAAUUAGAGUUCUUUGGAAUAUGUUUUAAAUGGUAGUCAAGGAUGGAAGGAAGUUCGGUUUGAUUUCAAUUUGAAGAUGUAUGAAGUCUUGGAGAAGUCAUCUUUAUACUGAAACUUGCAAGGUUUGCAGGCAAAGGCUUGCUUUUUCAUGUUUAUAAUGAUGGCUUCUAUUGCAGGAGAACGUAAUGCCAACUCUUACCAUGACUUUGCAACCUAUUACUUUCCUUAUGGUAGAACUUAUGUUAAUUUCAAACUUUGAAGACAGUAAAUGCUGGUGGGCAGCCAAAAUCUGAAUCAUAUGACUUAAAGAAAUUCCAUGUUGGAGAUAUGAUUAUUGGGAGAAUCAAACGUGUGGAGCCCUAUGGCUUAUUCAUUGACAUUGAUCAAACUGGCAUGGUAAUGAUCUAGUUUCAUGCUGCAAGGUGAAAAAGAAGACUAUAGCUGCAAGACGGAGUCAAGUGAAAAUGAUUAUAUUCCCGGAGGCUAACCGGAAAGAUUUUGAUGAGCUGGCGGAAAACGUGAAAGAAGUGCUUGAUGGAAACAAGAGAUGGAGAAGUAGCAGCACACAGCAAGAAUCGUUUGACAUGGCAACAUGGUCCUUUGUGGUACUCACUGCUUCUCCUCAACUUCACGGCCAUUAUCACUAUUCUCUUUGAUACCUUUGUGGUACUCACUGCUUCUGCUAAGUCUUCUUCCUUCCUCCUCCAAUGAUGAUACUGUUGACUACAGCUAUUCUGCUAUAUAAAACACUUUCUACAUUCCACUUGCAUUUGUAUUGCCCCUUGUACUGUCAACACUCCAUUUAUAUGUGAUGCAUUUGUAGCGAAAAACUUUGUGUUUUACGAGUUUGCUACUUCUGGUGUGUAAAA